rnacentral:hammerhead_ribozyme from 1 species
GUGCUGAUGAAGAAUCCCAGAUUAGGACGAAACAACUGUCCAGUAC